CUACGGGAUGCAGCAGUGGGGAAUAUUGGGCAAUGGGCGCAAGCCUGACCCAGCAACGCCGCGUGAGGGAAGAAUGUCUUCGGAUUGUAAACCUCUGUCCUUGGGGACGAAAAAAAUGACGGUACCCAAGGAGGAAGCUCCGGCUAACUACGUGCCAGCAGCCGCGGUAAUACGUAGGGAGCAAGCGUUGUCCGGAAUUAUUGGGCGUAAAGGGUGCGUAGGCGGCGUUGUAAGUCAGAUGUGAAAUCCCCGGGCUUAACUCGGGAGUUGCAUUUGAAACUACAGUGCUUGAGUAAAGAAGGGGUAAGUGGAAUUCCUAGGGUAGCGGUGGAAUGCGUAGAUAUUAGGAGGAACACCAGUGGCGAAGGCGACUUACUGGUCUUUUACUGACGCUGAGGCACGAAAGCGUGGGGAGCAAACAGGAUUAAUACCCGAGUAGUC
rnacentral:rRNA from 1 species